AAUCUUCCACAAUGGACGAAAGUCUGAUGGAGCGACGCCGCGUGAGUGAUGAAGGUCNNNGGAUCNUCAAACUCUGUUGUUAGNGACNAACAAGUAUCGACCGAAUAAGUCGGUACCUUGACGGUACCUAACCAGAAAGCCCCGGCUAACUACGUGCCAACAGCCGCGGUAAUACGUAGGGGGCAAGCGUUGUCCGGAAUUAUUGGGCGUAAAGGGCGCGCAGGCGGUCUUCUAAGUCUGAUGUGAAAUCUCGUAGCUUAACUACGAGCGGUCAUUGGAAACUGGGAGACUUGAGGACAGAAGAGGAGAGUGGAAUUCCACGUGUAGCGGUGAAAUGCGUAGAGAUGUGGAGGAACACCAGUGGCGAAGGCGACUCUCUGGUCUGUAACUGACGCUGAGGCGCGAAAGCGUGGGGAGCAAACA
rnacentral:rRNA from 1 species